rnacentral:rRNA from 1 species
UACGUAGGUGGCAAGCGUUGUCCGGAUUUACUGGGCGUAAAGAGCGCGCAGGCGGUCGUAUAAGUCGAAUGUGAAAGCCCCCGGCUCAACUGGGGAGGGUCAUUCGAUACUGUUCGACUCGAAGGCAGGAGAGGGAAGUGGAAUUCCGGGUGUAGUGGUGAAAUGCGUAGAUAUCCGGAGGAACACCAGUGGCGAAGGCGAGUUCCUGGACAAGUCCUGACGCUGAGGCACGAAAGCCAGGGGAGCAAACAGG